UGUGGGCCCUGCUGGUCUCACGUAGACUCUCACACAGCUGCAUUAUGUUGAGAGCCUAACAGGAGAGGGACAUUAAAAUAGCCUCUCAUUCUUCAGGGUCUUAAUACACAUGGCAUCUAAUCAUUUGCUAGUCUAGCCCAAGUUUUUUAUGUGGCAGCUGGAUCCCAAGAGGGAGUAUUCCAAGAGGACAAGUCCUAAGUUACUGCUGAUCGAGCCUCUGCCUGCAUCAGGCUUGCAAAUGUCCAGUUGGCCAAAGCAAGUCACAUGGCCAAUCCCUGAGUCAGUGUGGGAGGAGAGCACAUAAGGACAGGAAUACUGGGAGGCAUGUCUCAUUGGGAACCACCAAAGCAACAGUCCAUUACAGGCCUUCCUUGGGCAAGUGAUUUGGACACUGAGCCUCAGUUUCCUCAUCCUACUAUGGAAGCAGUACCACCUACUUGGCAGCAUUGUUGUGAGGACCAAGUGAAUAGCAUGAUGUCUGACCAGAAUCAUUAGUAGAUAAGUAUUCACUGUUUUGAUUGUUAAACUACAGGCACCCUAAUGGCACAACUCUCAUUCAUUUAUGUGUACCCAGUGCCUAACAUGGGCCUUGUGCUGGACAUCGUUUGCUGGGUGGAUAAAAUGGAAUGAAGCAGACAAGCCCUAAGCCUAAGAGCUCAGCUAGAGCAAAGCUGCAGCAUUGAGAAGACACAGCAAGCUCUUACCUCCCAGUAGGUGACCAGCAGAACCAGGAAGCCACCUGUUAUUCAAGGCCCAACUACAAUGAUG
rnacentral:lncRNA from 1 species